rnacentral:piRNA from 1 species
UGCAAGUGCGCUGACUCCAUUGGCACGAU